AGUGAACGCUGGCGGUAGGCCUAACACAUGCAAGUCGAACGGCAGCACAGUAAGAGCUUGCUCUUACGGGUGGCGAGUGGCGGACGGGUGAGGAAUACAUCGGAAUCUACUUUUUCGUGGGGGAUAACGUAGGGAAACUUACGCUAAUACCGCAUACGACCUACGGGUGAAAGCAGGGGAUCUUCGGACCUUGCGCGAUUGAAUGAGCCGAUGUCGGAUUAGCUAGUUGGCGGGGUAAAGGCCCACCAAGGCGACGAUCCGUAGCUGGUCUGAGAGGAUGAACAGCCACACGGGAAUGGAAACACGGUCCAGGCUCCUACGGGGGGCAGGAGUGGGAAAUGUUGGAAAAGGGGGGCAAGCCUGACACAGCCAUGCCGCGUGGGGGAGAAAGGCCUUGGGGUUGAAAAGCCCUUUUGUGGGGAAAAAAAAGCAGCAGGUUAAAACCCCGGUUUUGUGGCGGUACCAAAAAAAAAAGCCCGGGCAAACUUCG
rnacentral:rRNA from 1 species